GUCUUCUUCACUGCAGCCAAGAGCGGCAUUUACGUCAUCAUAGCUUCUUACUGCCACGACCAGCCGUAAAAACGCACUGAACAACCUAAAAGUCGGUUGAAUUGAACGAGUUCGUGAGGACCAACGUAGAAUCAACGGCACCGCGAUGAAUCUAAAGUUUUGUCGUUUCGACGGGUGGCCACAGCUCCUGAUGGCGCUCCUGCUCUGCACGGCCGCAAGUGCUAAUCCUACCGACAGCACCGAGCCGUGCGAUGAAGGCCAGUUCGAGUGCGCCAACGGCCGCUGCAUUCCCAUGGACUACAAGUGUGACGACGUCGACGACUGUCUCGAUGGCAGCGAUGAACUCGAGUG
rnacentral:lncRNA from 1 species